rnacentral:misc_RNA from 1 species
GAUGAAGAACGCAGCGAAAUGCGAUAAGUAGUGUGAAUUGCAGAAUUCAGUGAAUCAUCGAAUCUUUGAACGCACAUUGCGCCCCUUGGUAUUCCAUGGGGCAUGCCUGUUCGAGCGUCAUUUGUACCUUCAAGCUUUGCUUGGUGUUGGGUGUUUGUCCCUCGGGACUCGCCUUAAAGUCAUUGGCAGCCAGUGUUUUGGUUUUGAAGCGCAGCACAAGUCGCGAUUCAAGGCUAUCCGCCCGCUUCCACAAGCCUUUUUUCACUUUUGACCUCGGAUCAGGUAGGGAUACCCGCUGAACUUAAGCAUAUCAAUAAGCGGAGGA